UAUCUUUAGUGAGUCGUAGAGAACUUCUAAGAACAUUUAAUGUAAUAGUUCCUUCUGUAAAUCGAGAUGACCGAGUCUCAACCAUUAACACUGAAAGCAGACAGUGAUCAUGUGAGACAUGAGUCCAUUCUGAUUGGCUUGUCACAACCAGUCCUGUCUGUAGAAAGUAGAGCACAUUAAGAGAUUCUAUCAGUGAAGCAAAACCAUUUAAAGAAAAUGACUCCUCUAAUGUUUAUUGGCUAUGUGACAUGUCUGAUCCUGGACACUUUGGUUCAUUUGGAGGCUCAGACUCCGUCGCCGUCUCUGCAUUUUGAAUCGGUCAACAUCGGCUCAAACGUGACUUUAAAGUGUUUCCAUAAAGAAACUGAUGGAGUGAUUUUCUACUGGUAUAAACAAACUGCAGGGCAGAAACCACAGCUGAUGUCAGAGUUUUAUAGAUAUAAGAAAAAUGGCUCACUUACGGGUCAAUUUUGCAAUGAUCCACGAUUUGAGCUGGAAACUGGCAAAGACAAAAACCACUUGAGGAUCUCGUAUGCACAACUGUCAGACUCUGCUACUUACUACUGUGCAGCAAUUGAUACAUAUGUGCAUACAUUUCUAGAGGGCAUUAUAGUCCAUGUCAAAGAACCAAAACUGAACAUUUGGACGUUGGUGGAUCAGUCCAGAUCUGAGAUCAUCCAGCCAGGAGGUUCUGUGACUUUGAAGUGUUCGGUACAAAGUGGGACCUGCGAUGAGGAACACAGAGUUUUCUGGUUCAGAAACUCUGAAGAACACCUUCCAGAGAUCAUUUACACCAGUGGAGCCAGUGAUGACCAGUGUCAGAAGAAGCCGACCACACAGCCACACAGCUGCGUGUACAGCCUGUCCAUAGACAGUCUGAACAUGUCCAAUGCCGGGACCUACCACUGUGCCGUUGCCUCCUGUGGACACAUUGUGUUUGGAAAGGGGAUGCAGCUGGACUAUGAGAAGAAGUCUGACUCCCCUGUCCUGCUGUACGUCUUGAGUGGAGCUUUAGCGUUCAGCGUCAUCCUGGUGGUAAUUCUGGCUCAAAAACUGCACAAAACCAAGUUCUGCAAAGAGAGAUCCUCAGCAGCCGCGACUCUGAAUGCAGAUGAUUACGAGGAUGCAGAAAAUCUCCAUUAUGCUGCUUUAAGAAGCAGUAAAAUCAGCAGAUCGAGAGGGAAGAGAGAUGCCACCAAUGAAGUCGUGUACUCCAGUGUUGGGCCUCAGAACUGAAGUUGCUUCUUUGUGUUGUUAGGCUGACGUCUGCGGUAGAAACCCCCUUGACAAGCUUUUGACCAAAACAUAAAUAUUCCAGUUCAUUUAGCUGUAAUUAAGCUUCACCUGUCAGAUGUGACCAAACCAUUAACACUGAAAGCAGACAGUGAUCAUGUGAGACCUGAGUCCAUUCUGAUUGGCUUGUCACAACCAGUCCUGUCUGUAGAAAGUAGAGCACAGUAAGAGAUCCUAUCAGUGAAGCAAAACCAU